UUAAGCGACUAAGCGUACACGGUGGAUGCCCUGGCAGUCAGAGGCGAUGAAGGACGUGCUAAUCUGCGAUAAGCGUCGGUGAGGUGAUAUGAACCGUUAUAACCGGCGAUUUCCGAAUGGGGAAACCCAGUGUGUUUCGACACACUAUCAUUAACUGAAUCCAUAGGUUAAUGAGGCGAACCGGGGGAACUGAAACAUCUAAGUACCCCGAGGAAAAGAAAUCAACCGAGAUUCCCCCAGUAGCGGCGAGCGAACGGGGAGGAGCCCAGAGCCUGAAUCAGUGUGUGUGUUAGUGGAAGCGUCUGGAAAGGCGCGCGAUACAGGGUGACAGCCCCGUACACAAAAAUGCACAUGCUGUGAGCUCGAUGAGUAGGGCGGGACACGUGGUAUCCUGUCUGAAUAUGGGGGGACCAUCCUCCAAGGCUAAAUACUCCUGACUGACCGAUAGUGAACCAGUACCGUGAGGGAAAGGCGAAAAGAACCCCGGCGAGGGGAGUGAAAAAGAACCUGAAACCGUGUACGUACAAGCAGUGGGAGCCUCUUAAUGGGGUGACUGCGUACCUUUUGUAUAAUGGGUCAGCGACUUAUAUUCUGUAGCAAGGUUAACCGAAUAGGGGAGCCGAAGGGAAACCGAGUCUUAACUGGGCGUUAAGUUGCAGGGUAUAGACCCGAAACCCGGUGAUCUAGCCAUGGGCAGGUUGAAGGUUGGGUAACACUAACUGGAGGACCGAACCGACUAAUGUUGAAAAAUUAGCGGAUGACUUGUGGCUGGGGGUGAAAGGCCAAUCAAACCGGGAGAUAGCUGGUUCUCCCCGAAAGCUAUUUAGGUAGCGCCUCGUGAAUUCAUCUCCGGGGGUAGAGCACUGUUUCGGCAAGGGGGUCAUCCCGACUUACCAACCCGAUGCAAACUGCGAAUACCGGAGAAUGUUAUCACGGGAGACACACGGCGGGUGCUAACGUCCGUCGUGAAGAGGGAAACAACCCAGACCGCCAGCUAAGGUCCCAAAGUCAUGGUUAAGUGGGAAACGAUGUGGGAAGGCCCAGACAGCCAGGAUGUUGGCUUAGAAGCAGCCAUCAUUUAAAGAAAGCGUAAUAGCUCACUGGUCGAGUCGGCCUGCGCGGAAGAUGUAACGGGGCUAAACCAUGCACCGAAGCUGCGGCAGCGACACUAUGUGUUGUUGGGUAGGGGAGCGUUCUGUAAGCCUGUGAAGGUGGCCUGUGAGGGUUGCUGGAGGUAUCAGAAGUGCGAAUGCUGACAUAAGUAACGAUAAAGCGGGUGAAAAGCCCGCUCGCCGGAAGACCAAGGGUUCCUGUCCAACGUUAAUCGGGGCAGGGUGAGUCGACCCCUAAGGCGAGGCCGAAAGGCGUAGUCGAUGGGAAACAGGUUAAUAUUCCUGUACUUGGUGUUACUGCGAAGGGGGGACGGAGAAGGCUAUGUUGGCCGGGCGACGGUUGUCCCGGUUUAAGCGUGUAGGCUGGUUUUCCAGGCAAAUCCGGAAAACCAAGGCUGAGGCGUGAUGACGAGGCACUACGGUGCUGAAGUGACAAAUGCCCUGAUUCCAGGAAAAGCCUCUAAGCAUCAGGUAACAUCAAAUCGUACCCCAAACCGACACAGGUGGUCAGGUAGAGAAUACCAAGGCGCUUGAGAGAACUCGGGUGAAGGAACUAGGCAAAAUGGUGCCGUAACUUCGGGAGAAGGCACGCUGAUAUGUAGGUGAAGCGACUUGCUCGUGGAGCUGAAAUCAGUCGAAGAUACCAGCUGGCUGCAACUGUUUAUUAAAAACACAGCACUGUGCAAACACGAAAGUGGACGUAUACGGUGUGACGCCUGCCCGGUGCCGGAAGGUUAAUUGAUGGGGUUAGCGGUAACGCGAAGCUCUUGAUCGAAGCCCCGGUAAACGGCGGCCGUAACUAUAACGGUCCUAAGGUAGCGAAAUUCCUUGUCGGGUAAGUUCCGACCUGCACGAAUGGCGUAAUGAUGGCCAGGCUGUCUCCACCCGAGACUCAGUGAAAUUGAACUCGCUGUGAAGAUGCAGUGUACCCGCGGCAAGACGGAAAGACCCCGUGAACCUUUACUAUAGCUUGACACUGAACAUUGAGCCUUGAUGUGUAGGAUAGGUGGGAGGCUUUGAAGUGUGGACGCCAGUCUGCAUGGAGCCGACCUUGAAAUACCACCCUUUAAUGUUUGAUGUUCUAACGUUGGCCCCUAAUCGGGGUUGCGGACAGUGUCUGGUGGGUAGUUUGACUGGGGCGGUCUCCUCCUAAAGAGUAACGGAGGAGCACGAAGGUUGGCUAAUCCUGGUCGGACAUCAGGAGGUUAGUGCAAUGGCAUAAGCCAGCUUGACUGCGAGCGUGACGGCGCGAGCAGGUGCGAAAGCAGGUCAUAGUGAUCCGGUGGUUCUGAAUGGAAGGGCCAUCGCUCAACGGAUAAAAGGUACUCCGGGGAUAACAGGCUGAUACCGCCCAAGAGUUCAUAUCGACGGCGGUGUUUGGCACCUCGAUGUCGGCUCAUCACAUCCUGGGGCUGAAGUAGGUCCCAAGGGUAUGGCUGUUCGCCAUUUAAAGUGGUACGCGAGCUGGGUUUAGAACGUCGUGAGACAGUUCGGUCCCUAUCUGCCGUGGGCGCUGGAGAACUGAGGGGGGCUGCUCCUAGUACGAGAGGACCGGAGUGGACGCAUCACUGGUGUUCGGGUUGUCAUGCCAAUGGCACUGCCCGGUAGCUAAAUGCGGAAGAGAUAAGUGCUGAAAGCAUCUAAGCACGAAACUUGCCCCGAGAUGAGUUCUCCCUGAGACUUAGAGUCUCCUGAAGGAACGUUGAAGACGACGACGUUGAUAGGCCGGGUGUGUAAGCGCAGCGAUGCGUUGAGCUAACCGGUACUAAUGAACCGUGAGGCUUAACCUU
rnacentral:rRNA from 1 species